GGGGAAUUUUGCGCAAUGGACGAAAGUCUGACGCAGCAACGCCGCGUGGGUGAUGAAGGUCUUCGGAUUGUAAAACCCUGUCGUCAGGGACGAAGGUUGGGGUCUUAAUAUGGCUUCAGCUUGACGGUACCUGGAGAGGAAGCCCCGGCUAACUCUGUGCCAGCAGCCGCGGUAAUACAGAGGGGGCAAGCGUUAUUCGGAAUUAUUGGGCGUAAAGGGCGCGUAGGCGGUUUUGUAAGUAGGAUGUGUAAUCCCCGAGCUCAACUUGGGAACUGCAUCCUAGACUGCAGGACUGGAGUGCUGGAGAGGGUGGUGGAAUUCCACGUGUAGCGGUGAAAUGCGUAGAGAUGUGGAGGAACACCAGUGGCGAAGGCGGCCACCUGGACAGUAACUGACGCUGAGGCGCGAAAGUGUGGGUAGCAAAC
rnacentral:rRNA from 1 species